rnacentral:rRNA from 1 species
AGCGAACGCUGGCGGCAGGCCUAACACAUGCAAGUCGAACGGAUCCUUCGGGAUUAGUGGCGGACGGGUGAGUAACACGUGGGAACGUGCCCUUUGGUUCGGAACAACUCAGGGAAACUUGAGCUAAUACCGGAUGUGCCCUUCGGGGGAAAGAUUUAUCGCCAUUGGAGCGGCCCGCGUCUGAUUAGCUAGUUGGUGAGGUAACGGCCCACCAAGGCGACGAUCAGUAGCUGGUCUGAGAGGAUGAUCAGCCACACUGGGACUGAGACACGGCCCAGACUCCUACGGGAGGCAGCAGUGGGGAAUCUUGCGCAAUGGGCGAAAGCCUGACGCAGCCAUGCCGCGUGAAUGAUGAAGGUCUUAGGAUUGUAAAAUUCUUUCAGCGGGGACGAUAAUGACGGGACCCGCAGAAGAAGCUCCGGCGAACUUCGU